UGAGGAAUAUUGGGCAAUGCCCGCAAGGGUGACCCAGCAACGCCGCGUGGAGGAUGAAUGUCGUAAGAUUGUAAACUCCCGUUAGAGGGGAAGAAUAGUACCGGUUGGACCGGUAUAUGACUGUACCCUCAGAGAAAGCCCCGGCUAACUACGUGCCAGCAGCCGCGGUAAUACGUAGGGGGCAAGCGUUGUCCGGAUUUACUGGGUGUAAAGGGCGCGCAGGCGGGAUAAAAAGUCAGUGGUGAAAUCCUACAGCUUAACUGUAGAACUGCCUUUGAUACUUUUAUUCUUGAGUUCGGGAGAGAGAGACGGAAUUCCAGGUGGAGUGGUGAAAUACGUAGAUAUCUGGAAGAACACCAGUUGCGAAGGCGGUCUCUUGGUCCGACACUGACGCUGAGGCGCGAAAGCGUGGGGAGCAAACA
rnacentral:rRNA from 1 species